AUGGCCGAAUGCUUCAAUAGGGUGGUCAAAGGUGCACGUGGAUUACCCGUGACGGCAAUAGUUCAAUACACAUUUGACAAGAUGAAUGCGUACUUUGUAAAGUACUCGAUGGAAACCGAUGCACAGAUAGCGGGUGAGAACCCACGGAAGUACAAGUACAAGUUCCCACCCAAAGUUGAUGAAUGGUUGGUAUUUCAAUCACGGAAGGCGGACUCAGAAGAAGCUAUAUUAUAUGACAACGAAGAGUGGAAGUACGAAGUGAAAGAGCCAGGAGGAACCACAAACGAUGGCCGGCAACAUGGAGGUCGGGCUUUCAAGGUGUCGUUAACACAAUGUGAUUGCACUUGCAGGAGGCCAUUGUUGCUUCAUCUCCCAUGCUCACAUUUGUAUGCCGCCGGUCGCAUUAGGAAUGUGGACAUCAAUCACCCACGCACCGUGAGGGAGUCGGAGUUCUCAAUCAUGACGGUCAAGAAAACAUGGGCUCCCCGCUUUCACCCAUACUUUGACCAAUCACAAUGGCCGGAGUAUCAUGGAGUUCAACUAUGGCCGGAGUAUCAUGGAGUUCAACUAUGGCCGGAUCCGGAGUUGAAGGUUGUUAAACGGGGUAGACGUAAGACAAAGCGUCUUAGAGGCGACAUGGACGGAUGGGGCCAUGGUGGGUGCCGCGAAGCGGGCAACGACCAAUUCCAAGAGCCUCGUGAGAGCUCCCGUUGUGGGGAGUGCAAAGGUCAUGGCCACAACAAAAGAAAAUGUACGAAACCAAGGAAAAGGUCCAAGAAAAAUGAUGCAAGCACAAGCCAACAAGGAGCUACACAAGGGAGCCAACCAAGUGGUAGCCAACCUAGUGGUAGCCAUUAA
rnacentral:rRNA from 1 species